rnacentral:rRNA from 1 species
AGGGAGGCAAAGCCGCGAGGCAGAGNGAACCCCUAAAAGGCGUCCCAGUUCGGAUCGCAGGCUGCAACCCGCCUGCGUGAAGUCGGAAUCGCUAGUAAUCGCGGAUCAGAAUGCCGCGGUGAAUACGUUCCCGGGCCUUGUACACACCGCCCGUCACACCAUGAGAGUCGGGAACACCCGAAGUCCGUAGUCUAACUAGCAAUAGAGGGCGCGGCCGAAGGUGGGUUCGAUAAUUGGGGUGAAGUCGUAACAAGGUAGC